CUUUAGCAUAAAAACGAACUAAUGUGAUUGUGGAGGAUCAAACGACCAGACAGCGUCUCAACAUAAAUCAAAAUUCGUGGUGAGAAAAGACCUGCUACCAUUAAUUCGCGUUGGCGUAUAAAGAAGCUCCAAAACAUCUUUAAAAAUGAGUUAUAAUCUGACAAGUUAAGUACAUGGGUGUAUUACAAAAACACACUUAAAUCACGAAGCGACGUCUGAAAGGGGCUUAACCAAACCCAAGAAAAGCUGAAGACGAUCCAAAGAAAAGAUUUCAAAGCACAAUGCAGUAUAAAUUAAGGCAGAUGCCACUUGAACACUUGCUAACAUAAUUCUGAGUGUUCACAUGUUCACAAUGAUGUCAUAUCAAAACAUGACGCAAUUUAUAAGCUGGGGUAAGUUGUUUUCAUAGGCGCAUCCGCCAACACCCCACUGACUUUCCCUGCGGGCGACUCUAAUUGAAUUCACAUCCCAGCACAGUACGAAUCAAAAAACAAAACUUAAAUAGAAACCCAAUGCAUGAGGCCAACUAAAUAAUUUAAUUAAUGGACACCUCCACGGGCGUUUAUUUUAAUUAAUCCUUUCAAUUCAAGCAUAAUUCUAUAGGAUUACUACAGUGAUCGAUCAAGCCAUACAGACAAGAAUUACGUGUGUGGAGGAAUAAAUUAACGGACGUGUCGAGGUGUAAUCGUGUGAUUGGUACAAUUUUCUCGGGCUUUUUCGCUGGCAUGCAAAUUGCUGAAAGCGCUUGAACCCCAGAUGUGCAUUUUCACAAAGACGACCGCAUGGCGUGGAGAAUGCUGCAACUCCAGUUUAAGCCCAUGCAAACACGCCCGCUAGCACUUAAUCAAUAAUUAAUGCAGAUAAAUCACACAUUGCCCAUCUUUGGAUGAAAUUUGGUAUCAGCUCGAGCAUCAUCGAAAGUCAGCCCAAGACGCCAAAAGGAGUAAUGGCACAGCGGCGCCCUCAAAGAGAACCUGGAAACGGGCCAUUAAUCAACACGGCUCUUCCUCGUUCGUGGCUCAUUAAAGUUGGCCGUAACUGCACUCGGAGCGAUUUUUGCGGCCGCCAAAAUGGCCCUGGAUUCACCACGUGGAAUGACAGACGUUUCGAACUUUUUCAAGACGGCUGUUGAGAUCCGACAUCUGUUUGAUAUUUAAGAUAUGUAGUACAAAAGGUUUUAUGAGUUCAUUUUCUCUUCUAAAGUCGACAGACUGUCUUGGAGUUUGACGUACCAUUAAAACGCCAGUCAUUCGCUUUUAUUGUCGUCGCUUUAAAGUUUUUCAGCCGACAUAGAUUUGAAUUACUUAUUGUCUCAACUGUAUUGCAUGUUGUACAUUUCACUGAGCUUUUAAUUUGCCGCCAUUAAAAUAAUAU